rnacentral:rRNA from 1 species
AUUGAACGCUGGCGGCAGGCUUAACACAUGCAAGUCGAGCGAACGGCGGACGGGUGAGUAAUGUAUGGGAAACUGCCUGAUGGAGGGGGAUAACUACUGGAAACGGUAGCUAAUACCGCAUACCAUCAGAGGUGCCCAGAUGGGAUUAGCUAGUAGGUGGGGUAAUGGCGCACCUAGGCGACGAUCCCUAGCUGGUAUGAGAGGAUGACAGGCCAAACUGGAACUGAGACACGGUCCAGACUCCUACGGGAGGCAGCAUUGGGGAAGAUUGCACAAUGGGCGCAAGCCUGAUGCAGCCAUGCCGCGUGUGUGAAGAAGGCCUUCGGGUUGUAAAGCACUUUCAGCGAGGAGGCGUUACUCGCAGAAGAAGCACCGGCUAACUCCGUGCCAGCAGCCGCGGUAAUUC